CGCAUGCGCGGAAAAUGCGGCACCGUUCUCCGCCCGAAGGGUAUAGACCGCAGCAGAAACUGUGGAGGGGGGAGAUGUACGCAUGUGCAGAAAGUGACCGGGGUGUGUUUUCUGCGCAACUGCAAAGACUUGGUAUUUAGCUUACUCCAGUGACUGGAAGGAAAGUUCUCGAAAAGCUGCUGUCGGUGCAGGAGCACGAUGAAUAAAGAGGAACCUGAGAAAGCGCUAUUCCAGGAAUUUCCACUAUUUCAUUUAAAGAAUAGAUCUGUUUAACUUGUGUAUAAGUGCCUCCUUCGACUAAUACUAAAUUGGAUAUUAUGAACGAUUUGGGAAGAUUUUUAGAUGGCUUGAACGCCGAAAUGACCGAUAUGAGGAAAUACAACUGAAAAAACUUGUUACCAUUAACUUCCUUCUUAUCAGAAAGCUGCUGUGUUCGUUCAGAUUGGGGUUUUCUUACAGGAAUAUCGUCAUUCCACCAUUCUCAGCACUCUUUGUCCCUGUCUUUGUUCCCCUCCCCCUUUCCUUGUCCAUUUGGGCGCCAUUUUAAGGUGAUGGAAAAUUCUGGAGAGUCCGCCAUUUUGUGGCGAGCAGUGUUCUGCCUUAACAGGGAGUGCUGCGCAUAUACAGUGCUGGAAUACCAGGGAUGUAGUCUACUUUGUGGCUUAAAAAUAGUGGAAUAACAAGCAAUUAGCACCCCAUGCGAUCUAAAAACCUGUCUCUUGGAAGAUGCUAUUUCGUUUAACAAUAGCAUUAAAUAAAACUGGCUUUACGUGCAACCUAUACAGAUCAACUGAUAAUCGCUUAAAAUAAUAGGAUAUGUUAAAUUUAUAUCAGAUUGGAGAGAAGGAAACAAUUCUCUGGGGAAAGAGCAACAGUUUGGUUAGUGAUGCCACUGUACAGUAAGUGUUUCGGAAAGGAUAUGAAUAAUUUUUUUUAUUAAUUUUCACAUUUAAAGUUUCUACGUCACAUCUCAAACAACACCAACAUAGCCUGGAUCACAUUUCUCUUGUUCUAUUUGUAAAUUUAAAGAUUUAGUACACAAAGAAUGCCAGAAAUUUGUGUAAAAAUCUAAUGUUGGUACGGCCUUUUUUCUGGUGAGCAAUUUUGUUCUUGGAUAGGGGCCAUAGUUUUCUUAAGUGUUGACUGAAACUGCAAAUUAUGAUUCAAUCCAGUUGCUAUGUCAGUCUAAGAUGGUGAAUGUGAUGCAAUAACCAAAUUUUGGUGAUUGCAAAAGGUCUGGAAUUUCAGCAGAACAAAAUUUGUAAGGUUUUAUUUUGCAUAUAAAAUGUAUUUGGUGUCCUGAAAAUUAGCAUAUCAUAAAAAAACUUAAUGUAUUGUUUAUCAAAAUUUUUAGUUUUAUCUGUUAAGGAUUUAUUAAUAGAGAAUUAAACCCUUUCAAAGGGUGUGACUUCUAGGACCCAACACCCUUGGUGCAGGGUAUCCAUAUCGAAAAGAUAGAUUUAAAAAAUGAUACUGUAGCUUGGCUUCUAUAUUUCUGUAAUUGUUUUGCGUAAUGAAAAUGGCGCACUCGUGAUGUGGAUAUAUUUCCCAAGCUCGCUCUUUGUCACUUGGUAUCCACCCAAUGUGUUUAUUCAGCGAUAUUUUUUAAAUGUAAUGGCUGCACUACGCAUGUUGGAAUCUCCACCGCAAUCUACAUGGAAUGCAACUGGGGGAUACAAAUGUUGAAAUGUCUUGGACUGACCACAUGUCUUGACCACAUCUGUGCUAAGUUGACUGUUUGAAUAGCAAUUUGAAGUAAGUUAACAUUUGAAACAGUUGAGCUGGGGAGGGAAAAUGUUUUAAUACAUUAGGUUCAUGUAAAGUAUGGUCAUGUGAAAUAGGCAUGGAAGAAUGGGAAUUGCGUGGGGAAAUUUUGGGUAUUUAAAAAUAGGCCAAAAUGCACUGUUGUAAAGUUGGUGGGUUUUAAGGGUUUUUAUCCAUCUGUUAGAAUAUCAGUUCCUGUUGGAAAUACCAUUAUCCAUCUGUACUAAUAUAUUGAAUGCAGUACUGACCUAGGUGGCCACUUUCAUUUGUCUGGCACUGAAGCUUCAGCUGAAUUGAAUUUUCAAAGAUGUGACCAAAAGGUUUGCAAUUGGUUUCAGACUGUUGAGUAAAAUUUUCAUUAUUGUGUUAAUUUCAAUUUAAAAUAGAUAUUUACUACAGAAGGAAUCCUCCUUUUCUUUUUAUAUUACAUAUGAUUGUGUUGGGUUGGAUUUUUCAUUGUAUGCUGUGUUGAUUUUUAGUUUUUAAAAAAUGCUUUGACACUUGCUUUCUACCAUUUUACUUGCUGUUCAAACCUCCUUGAGGUGGGCCCUGACUGGUCUCGCUCUGGCAUGCACUCGCUUGGCUGCAGACACAGAUUUGAUGGAGCAAGCCAGUCACAGUUUUAUUGCUAGCGUCAAAGUUUUCUUUCUAACGCCAUCCUUCAAAAAAUAUUGCACCCCGGGUAUAUUUACACCAAAUAGAGCAGUGGCUCGACUCCUCACUGCUACCUUCUGAUUAGGAGAAGUAAUAAAUAGUGGCCCAGUGAGGUAAUGCUCUAGAACAUGUAACAAGUUGUGCUGACUUUAUUUUCCCCCACCAGUCUACGGAGCACUGAAACUAAUUGUGGCAAAUUAAAUAACUAACUCAACCAAAUUUUGAUAGUUUAUCUUGGCACUUUAUUAUAGUUUUCUUUUAAGAAGACUAAAAAAAUUGAUACUGCUUGUAUAUUUUGACACACAUGCACAAUAGGAAGCAGUUACUAAACUUCAUUUGAGGGCUCAUAACCUUUUACUACAGUUAACAAUAGUAUAAAUUAUAACUUAGGACCUGAAUGCUAUAUACUAAAACUUAUUUUGUAUAGGGAGAAGGCCAUAUGAAUAAAGUCAAAAGGCUUUAAAUAUUGGUGUGGAUAAUAGGUAGGUAAGCCAGCAACUAAGAAUAUGUUGAACAUACUUUAUGUAUGUAAUAAAGUGAAAACAGGCACUAGAGAUUAGUAGUCAUUUUCCUGCCUAUUGCCCUCUGCUCAUAUUCCAGUUUUCCAUGUGUAGAAAAUAUGUGCAAGAUACUAAAUGGCCUCGCCCCGUAUGAUCACCAGCAACUAUAAAUGUGAAGCAGCUAGAAGCAAAGAUUGCUGGAGAGCGUUCAGGACUAGUGCCUAAUUGUACUUCUCUUUGUCCCAGGUAAAAUAUACUAUGACCACUUCACUUCUAAUUAGAGUCAGAAAGCUGGACAGCACAGAAUCAUAUCUUUCAGUCCUACUUAUCUUGACCAACUAGCUAUCUUUUACAAACUUAGUCCCAUUUGGCCCAUGUACCUUUUUAGUUGUUCCUAUUCAUAUACCCAUUCAGAUGCCUUGUUAAAAUAUUGUAGUUAUACCAGCCUCCUCCACUUCCUGUGGUGGCUCAUUCUAUACCCACCACCCUCUGCAAUGAAAAAGGCCCUUAGAUCCUUUUAUUAAAAUCUUUCCCCUGUCUCCUUUAAAGCUGUUCCCUGUAGUUUGGCACUCCCUACUCUAGGGAACAGACGAUGCCUACUUCAUGCAUGCCCCUUGUGAUUUUAUUAACCUCUAUAAAGGUCACCCUCAGCCUAUGAUGUUCCAUGGAAAACAGACCCAGCCCAUUCAGUAUCUCCCUCUAGCUCAACCCUGACAACAUCUUCAAAUCUUUUCUGAGCCCUGUCUAGUUCCACAACAUGCUUUUUAUAGCAGGGAGACCAGAAUUGUAUAUAAUACUACAAAAGUGAUCUAACCAAUCUCCUGUGCAACCACGACAUGACCUCCCUACUCAUGUACUGAGUAAUAAAGAGAAGCACACCAAGUGCUGCCUUCACUGCUCUACCUACUUGCAGAUCCCACUUUCAAGGAUCUAUGAACUUGCACUCCAAGGUCUCUGUUCAGCAAAACUUUCCAAGGACUUUACCAUGAAGUGUAUAAGUCCUGUCCUGAUUUACCUUUCCAAAAUGCAGCACCUCACACCUAAAUUAAACUCAGUCUGGCACUCCUCAUCCCAUUGGCCCACGUGAUCAAGAUCCAGUUGUAAUCUGAGGUAACCCUCAAUGUCCACUAUACUCCCAGUUUUAAUGUCUGCAAGCCUAUUAAUCAUACCUCCUGUGUUCAUAUCCAAAUAAUUUACAUAAAUGACAAAAAGCAGUGAAACCAACACCAAUCCCUGUGGCACACGGUUGGUCACAGGCCUCUGGUCUGAAAAGCGACCCUCUACCACCACCAUCUGUCUUCUACUUUUGAGCCAGUUCUGUGUCCAAAUAGCUAGUUCUCUCUAUAUUCUGUGUUAUCUAACCUUGCUAACCAGUCUACCAUAAGGAACAUUGUUGAAUGCUUUACUGAAGUCCCUAUACGUCACAGCCAUCACUGUGCCCACGUUAUUUCUCUUCAAUACUUAAAAAAACCUCAAUCAAAUUAAUGAGACACUAUUUCUCUUGAACAAAGCUAUGUUGACCACCCCUAAUCAGUCCUUGCCUUUCCAAAAACAUGUAAAUACAGUCCUUCAGAAUUCUCUCCAACAACUUGACCACCACCAAUGUCAGGCUCAUCGGUCUACAGUUCUCUGGCUUUUCCUUACCCUCUUUUAAAUAGUGGCACAAGUUUAGCCAACCUCCAUCAUUUGGCACUUCAACUGUGGCUAUAAAAUGAUGCAAAUAGUUGAGACCUCAUUUCAUUUUGCACUUUUCACUAGUCAGCACAACGUGCUAACUUGUAGGCAGGUAACGUCCAAGAAGUCAACAGUGAAAAAGACUGAUUAUCAAUCAAACCAUCACAAUUUUGGAUAAUGUCAUGCCCAAAGUCUGCUUCACAGCUGAUAUAGUUGGUCCUAACCUUAGAUUCAGGUGGAUGCCCUAGUUAUCUGCAAUUUAACAUCAGGUUGGGAUAGGAAAGCCCCUUGUUCAAUUUUAACUGUUUGCUUUCUCAGCUGGGAUCGAAAACUACUCACUUUGUAUUUCAGUUGUAUUUAGUUGUGUAGUAUUACUUUUCCUAGUUAUGGGUAACAUAAAAUCAGCCAAUCCAAUUGCUCCUAAUUUUCAUACAGAGUCAAGCUGGACAAUACAUGUUUAAGAUGUUGGACAGGGAAACUGCGAUUUGAAUAUAGUGUUAAAUUCAUUUUGAGAGCUGAGGGGCAAACGUUUGUGAUGUUUAACAUUUGAACAGUGAAAAAUAUGGUCAGUUGUUCAAGUCCAGGUGUAAUGUCAACAUUUCAAUACCAUUCACUAUUUCUGUGUAUACUGCUUGAGUUCAAGAUAAAUCAGACUGAUUAGGAUAGUUGUAGACUUGAUUUACUAGUCUGAGUUAACUGAAUUAAAGUGUGGUGAUGCUGAGAAUGUCUGUGCUAAAGUUUUAUUGAAAUUUGAAUGUCUAUAGGGGAUAGUUCAUUUUCAUCAAUCCUCAGAUUUGUCUGGGCAACAGUAAGCACUGCAGUAACAUUCUAUUCUAAAAAGUAUUAGCUAAAAUUAUGAAAUGACAGACAUAUUGAAAUUUAUUUAAUUAACAGAUGGAAUUUGUGUAAUAAAAAGUAAAAAUUGAAGUAGACCAGAAAAUGAUUGCUUCCUUUCAUUCAAACAGAAAUUCUGGCGGCAUCUGCAAAAACAAAUGUACAGUAACCCUUGAUGCAACCCUUUGCUUUCUGGAAAAUAAUAAAUGCUGUUAUAAUGGUUAAAAUUUAUUAAGUUCUUUCAAAUGUUGAAGGGAUUAUUUAAACCUUAAAACAUUCAUAAUUCAUUUUGAAGCCUUGGUAGUUGUUUCAUGUGCAGAAGUCCUCUAAUAAUGGAGCAUAAAUUGUUUCGUCCACCUUUGUUCAUGAUGCAAAUUCAGAAAUACUACUGGGGGAGGGGGAAAAAAAACUUCUAUAAUCAAGCUUUUGCAAUUCAUUCUGUCAGGUUUUUAGACAAUUCUUAACUGGACAGAUGUUAAUAGUCUUUCCUGAAGGUUCAAGCACGGUUGUCAGUCAAAUACAGUAUUAUGUUGAAAUAAAUCUUUGUACAACAGUAAGCAAACAUUUGUGCUAGAAUUCCAUAAAAGAAAAUAGUAUUCAUGAAAAUUGUAUUCAUAGCAUUGGCAAGGAUAAGAGUUUUGAAUAUUCGCAUCGUUAGACCAGUCUAAAAUGUUUUAACUACUAGCAUUUGGAACUUUGAGCACAAGUUAACUGUCGACUACGUUGUAUCAUGUAUUAUGUUAUAAAAGUGGAUUUAUAAUAUGCAGGAAGUAAAUCAGUUGUACUGUGGUGGUCCUUUGCAGUGCAUGUAUUGAUUAUCAUAAGUGUAGAUUAAUGAUAAAACUGCACAAUUUAGUUAUAUGUAUUGCAGUAUCAUUGCAAGACAGAGGAGCAUGUUUAACUGGUGUCAGGACGACCCUUCAGUUUUCUCAGUCACGGCCUUUUCUACCAAGGUGAUCAAUGCUUCCACAAUCCUCUGUACCCUUAAAGCAAUACCAAAGAUCAACAUUUAAAGCAGAUUUAAAUAGAUUAUCCCUUUUGAUAGAGCAAGGUGAGAUGGUGUCAUUUAAAACAAUCAAUAGGAGCAAAAUCACAGGCAGGUCUAUUGUUUCUCUUGCUGUGGAAGAACUUUUAAUUUCCUUUAUUUAAAAAAUGUUGAAGCAUAAGCAGUUCGUACAUAAUUAUGUUUCAAAAGAAGAGAAUGGGAAUUGGGAACAGUUCUUCAAUUUGUGAAAAGAACAAUUCCAGAAGUAGCAUAACAGAGUUAAAAAUACUAAAUUGAAUCCGUUUGCCAAUGGUGAUUUGCUACAAUUAAGAACACUUCAUCUUGAUGGUAGGCACCAGUUGUCUUCAGUACCUUGUCAAGUGACCGACCAUUCUUCAUCUGCAAGCCAAGAUGGUGAAUGUAGUAGGCUACAUCUUACAAGAAUUUAUUUCUAUGACUAUUUUCAAUAUAAAAAUCGCUAAGUAUAGUUCAGGAGUGGAAGUCUUUGUUAAUUUAUUUAGCUUUUAGCCUCGUUCAAGAGCUUUGAUCACAAUAAUAAAGCUGAUACCAGUUGAGAUCAUCACAUAGUAGGAACCAAACCUAAAAUAUCAGGUUUGCAUUGCUUAAGAUGAAUAGGCCUUGAGCAAACUUUAAAAAUAAAAUUACCCUCUCAAAAGGAUCGUUCAUAGAUGCUGUUGAAUGUAACUGAAAAUGGUCAACUGUACCAGGAUAAAUUUGAUUGAAGUUAUUCAGCAGUUCACAAAAUUGAAAUAAUCUCUGCUAAUAUUCAAGAGUCUUCAGGUAGAGCUGGUACUCUGCAUGUGGCAAGUCUUGCACAGUAUGUGCUUAUUCAAUGGGAAGCACCCUUCUUCAGUUGCAUCAGGAGAUAAAAGUCGUCCACAUUUCUGUAAUACAAGACACACAAGCUGAAUUGUGUUUAAGGACUUCCACUUGAUAUACCAAACUUGGCAACCAGCCUCAAUUGGCAUCACAAAACUUGAAGCUAUUGUAAUGAGUCUGGUUUUGACUUUUAAACAACCACUGAGAGACAAGCCUGGGUAGUUUCAAAUCAGUCCCGAGAGCAGACUACACUUUUUGAACAGAGUUCAAAAUUGUCCCUAAUUCUCAACGUUUAGAUUCCCAAAUCAUAGUUGGGACAGAUUAGGAAGUGGUUUACUCAAUAUAUGACUGUGGUAAAUGAUGUGGAAAUGCUUAAUUCUAGCAUUAGGUAUCAAAAGUGAGAAACAUUUCAUCCCUCAUUGAACACUGUUCCAAUACACAAGUAAAUGCACCAGUUAUAAAACUACCCCUUCAAGAGUGCUCCAAUCUAUUCAGCAUUCAGCAAAACAUUUCCAUACUCUGACAGUGUUGUUCCUCAUUUUGCUAUGAAGCGUGAUGCUAACACUAGGUUUUUAAUUUCAUUAACAAUUAAAAGAAACAUCACAUCAUUAAACAGUUCACACAAUUCUGCACAGAACACCUCAUCUGUUACAAUUCAUAAACACUUCACAGGUGUGUCCUCUGGAUAGCAGUUUGCUGUUAGUUGUGCAGUAUUUCAGACUUCACCUUCGUUUGUUAGUGUAAUAGUGUUACAUUUAGAAUAGCCGAUUUAAAGUGUACUGACAUCACUCUACAUAAAUGUCAAAGCCCAAAAAAACAAAACAAAUUGUAUUCAAUUCACUUAUUUUGUGCAAUCUACAAUUUUAGCUACAAUAUACAGAUGAGAUAAUUUAGAAGCAAGCCAUUUGCAUAAGAACAUGGAUUAAGCAUUUGGUGCUCAAAAUGCAUCAUAAUACUUUUAUCAACAGCAGAGUAUUUAACAUAUCUGAAAUUAUUCUGCACAGAUCUUUCUCCAUACUCAAGGUAGAUGCCUAUCAUUGGCUGGCAAGAAACUUGGGGCCAAGACGGCAGCUUCUAAUAUUAAGGUUAGGUUUAUAAGCAAUAUGCUUACAAAACAAAGAUUUUCAGGAUCUAUGAUAAUGGGAACUGCAGAUGCUGGAGAAUCCAAGAUAAUAAAGUGUGAGGCUGGA